rnacentral:rRNA from 1 species
AUUGAACGCUGGCGGCAUGCCUUACACAUGCAAGUCGAACGGUAACAGGUCUUCGGAUGCUGACGAGUGGCGAACGGGUGAGUAAUACAUCGGAACGUGCCUAGUAGUGGGGGAUAACUACUCGAAAGAGUGGCUAAUACCGCAUGAGAUCUACGGAUGAAAGCAGGGGAUCGCAAGACCUUGUGCUACUAGAGCGGCAGAUGGCAGAUAAGGUAGUUGGUGGGAUAAAAGCUUACCAAGCCGACGAUCUGUAGCUGGUCUGAGAGGACGAUCAGCCACACUGGGACUGAGACACGGCCCAGACUCCUACGGGAGGCAGCAGUGGGGAAUUUUGGACAAUGGGCGAAAGCCUGAUCCAGCAAUGCCGCGUGCAGGAUGAAGGCCUUCGGGUUGUAAACUGCUUUUGUACGGAACGAAAAGCCCUGGGUUAAUACCCUGGGGUCAUGACGGUACCGUAAGAAUAAGCACCGGCUAACUACGUGCCAGCAGCCGCCGUAA